rnacentral:misc_RNA from 1 species
AACGCAAAUUGCACUUUCUGGAUAGGCCAGGGAGUAUGCCUCUUUGAGCAUCGUUUCUACCCAACCUCGUUAGCUUUCUUGUGUAAAAACAAGAGAGCGAGCGGAUAAUGCGCUUCUCGCUGGAAACAGGGAGUGGCGUUAAGAAGAGCGAGCUCUUUUCAUAGUGUUAGACCCGCAAGGGGCGCCUUAUAGUUUAUAUAUUAGGUUAUCACUUUGGAUGUAGAUAAAUUUAUUUAUAUGACAUUCAAUAUGGAAAUCUAAUCGAAUUACUAGGCUAAGAUACUUAGAAUAUGAGUUUUCGAUGAAAAUUAAACUUGAUUCCUCGGAAUCAUUUUGAAUUAGAUCUCAAAUGAAGCAAGAUUACCCGCUGAACUUAA